rnacentral:rRNA from 1 species
CUUGGUCAUUUAGAGGAAGUAAAAGUCGUACAAGGUUUCCGUAGGUGAACCUGCGGAAGGAUCAUUACAGAGUACCGGGCCCUCGGGCGCCUACUCCCACCCUUUGUGAACUUAUCUUUGUUGCUUUGCGGGCCAGGUGCCUAGGCGCCGCCGGCUUCGGCUGGAGAGUGCCCGUCGAGGACCAUCUAAACUCUGCUCACGGUGACAUCCGAGUCCAAAAAAAAAAAAGAAUCAAAACUUUCAACAACGGAUCUCUUGGUUCUGGCAUCGAUGAGAACGCAGCGAAAUGCGAUAAGUAAUGUGAAUUGCAGAAUUCAGUGAAUAUCGAAUCUUUGAACGCACAUUGCGCCCUUUGGUAUUCCGAAGGGCAUGCUGUUCGAGCGUCAUUUAAACACUCAAGCUCUGCUUGGUUUUGGGCUCGGUCCUAAGGAGACCCGCCCGCAACUCGUUGGUGGUCGGUUCCGGCUCCGGCGUAGCAAAACCUCUCGCUCUCGAGACGACGCCUUCCCGCCCGGAAAGUCAUCUCUAAAGUUUGACCUCGGAUCAGGUAGGGAUACCCGCUGAACUUAGCAUAUCAAUAAGCGGAGGAA